UACGGAGGGUGCAAGCGUUAUCCGGAUUUACUGGGUUUAAAGGGUGCGUAGGCGGAUAGGUAAGUCAGUGGUGAAAUCCCCGAGCUCAACUUGGGAACUGCCGUUGAUACUAUUUAUCUUGAAUACCGUAGAGGUGAGCGGAAUAUGUCAUGUAGCGGUGAAAUGCUUAGAUAUGACGUAGAACACCGAUGGCGAAGGCAGCUCACUGGGCGGGCAUUGACGCUGAGGCACGAAAGCGUGGGGAGCAAACAGG
rnacentral:rRNA from 1 species